AUGAAAUCUCUGCUGCUUUUCCUUUCCCUCUUCUCCACCCUGGCCUGUGUCCUCUCCCAGGUGCAGCUGGUCCAGUCCGGCCAGGGCGUGGUGAAGCCCGGAGAGACCCUCACCCUGACCUGCGCUGUCUCCGGCUUCUCUAUCUCUACUCAGCAUUACGGCUGGCACUGGCUCCGGCAGCCCCCCGGGAAAGGGCUGGAGUGGAUGGGACGGGUAUAUCCGUAUAGUAGCGGGACCACAAACUACGCCCCGUCUCUGCAAGGCCGAAUCACCAUCGCCGCAGACACCGCCAAGAACCAGUUCUCGCUGCAGCUCCGCUCGCUGACAGCUGCAGACACCGGCACCUAUUACUGCGCCAGAGAGACACAGUGACACAGAGCAGAGCGGGACUGGCACAAAAAGGGGAAGCGGUUUCCCAGCAGCCCAGGGGGAC